GACGAACGCUGGCGGCGUGCUUAACACAUGCAAGUCGAACGGAAAGGCCCUGCUUUUGUGGGGUGCUCGAGUGGCGAACGGGUGAGUAACAUGUGAGUAACCUGCCCUUGACUUUGGGAUAACUUCAGGAAACUGGGGCUAAUACCGGAUAGGAGCUCCUGCUGCAUGGUGGGGGUUGGAAAGUUUCGGCGGUUGGGGACGGACUCGCGGCUUAUCAGCUUGUUGGUGGGGUAGUGGCUUACCAAGGCUUUGACGGGUAGCCGGCCUGAGAGGGUGACCGGCCACAUUGGGACUGAGAUACGGCCCAGACUCCUACGGGAGGCAGCAGUGGGGAAUAUUGCACAAUGGGCGGAAGCCUGAUGCAGCAACGCCGCGUGCGGGAUGACGGCCUUCGGGUUGUAAACCGCUUUCGCCUGUGACGAAGCGUGAGUGACGGUAAUGGGUAAAGAAGCACCGGCUAACUACGUGCCAGCAGCCACGGUGAUACGUAGGGUGCGAGCGUUGUCCGGAUUUAUUGGGCGUAAAGGGCUCGUAGGUGGUUGAUCGCGUCGGAAGUGUAAUCUUGGGGCUUAACCCUGAGCGUGCUUUCGAUACGGGUUGACUUGAGGAAGGUAGGGGAGAAUGGAAUUCCUGGUGGAGCGGUGGAAUGCGCAGAUAUCAGGAGGAACACCAGUGGCGAAGGCGGUUCUCUGGGCCUUUCCUGACGCUGAGGAGCGAAAGCGUGGGGAGCGAACAGGCUUAGAUACCCUGGUAGUCCACGCUGUAAACGGUGGGUACUAGGUGUGGGGUCCAUUCCACGGGUUCCGUGCCGUAGCUAACGCUUUAAGUACCCCGCCUGGGGAGUACGGCCGCAAGGCUAAAACUCAAAGGAAUUGACGGGGCCCCGCACAAGCGGCGGAGCAUGCGGAUUAAUUCGAUGCAACGCGUAGAACCUUACCUGGGUUUGACAUGGAUCGGGAGUGCUCAGAGAUGGGUGUGCCUCUUUUGGGGUCGGUUCACAGGUGGUGCAUGGCUGUCGUCAGCUCGUGUCGUGAGAUGUUGGGUUAAGUCCCGCAACGAGCGCAACCCUUGUUCACUGUUGCCAGCACGUUAUGGUGGGGACUCAGUGGAGACCGCCGGGGUCAACUCGGAGGAAGGUGGGGAUGACGUCAAGUCAUCAUGCCCCUUAUGUCCAGGGCUUCACGCAUGCUACAAUGGCUGGUACAGAGAGUGGCGAGCCUGUGAGGGUGAGCGAAUCUCGGAAAGCCGGUCUCAGUUCGGAUUGGGGUCUGCAACUCGACCUCAUGAAGUCGGAGUCGCUAGUAAUCGCAGAUCAGCAACGCUGCGGUGAAUACGUUCCCGGG
rnacentral:rRNA from 1 species